rnacentral:rRNA from 1 species
AUGGAGCCCGAAAGGCCCAGAUCUGGGCCGGGCGGGCGCCGCCAGCCCGCGCCGCCGCGCUGCCCCGCCGCCAACGGCGCGCCUCCGCCUAUAGCUCGCCCCCGCCUGCGACAGGACACCCCGCCACCGCCCGAGGCGGGCGCCGGCGACGGCGGCAGGGAGGAGGAGGAGAGAGGGGGGCGCGCGCGGGGAAGGAGGGGAGGCGCGGCCGGCGGCGCGUGUCUCUAUCGCUAUCCUAUUUUCCAAGUGAUAUGCCCAGGGCCUGCUGUCCGUGUAGGCAAGGACGUGGCAAUGCUAGAUGGUAUUGUCUUUGACGACAUGGCAACGAUGGAUUUUUGCCAGCUAGUAGUGGAUGAGUUAAAGCGUGCUGCUAUCAUAUGGCAAGAUCCAAAUAUCAUUCAAGCAGGGAAAGUGAAUGAGUUAGCUGCUGAGGUUUCCACGACUUCUGAUCGCCUGGGCUAUAUUGCUAGCAUUUUUCCUGAAGGUCAUGGACCAAGUGAACAAGCAAUGAAGGAGGCUACGGAGUGUGAUGUUGCUAACAUUGAUAGUCUGCAGAGCGCGACAUCAUAUAUUCAUACUGCUUUCAACGAGUUGAAUAGGGAACACGAUGCCAUAUGUAAAGGUUUUGAAAAUGAUGCUCGUAUUAUUGUGAGUCAGAUUAGCAAGCAGAAGGAUGAUGUGUCUCAGCCUGUUCACGGUGAAGAUGCUAUCGGGCAGCCAGGCGAGGAGGGUAGUGUUAACGCACCGGAUGGUGAAGAAGAUGAGAAGCCAGAGCCCACUGCCGAAUCUCCACCGCAUGGUUAUAGUGACGGCGAUGUCAUGGAUGAUGAUCGUUUGGGCGGUGAUUCUGAUGAGGGUUGUGAGGGUGUUGAUGACAGUGUUGACCUUAUGGAGAUAAUUUCCGCACCAGUUCAGCCCCCAGCCCUAGGUGAAUGCGGCAAAUCUGAUGAGCCAGAGCUUGUGCAGCAAGUCUUUGCGUUGACCUUUCCAAAGGCAAGCAAGCCGACUUUGAUUGUCAUGAGGUUGUGUCAGUUACGCUUGAUGGUGGUGCAGCAGGGAAUGAUCAUGCUUCAUAUGAUUCAAGUCGUUUUGUCGUUGACAAAGUUGAAUGUAGUUCAGCAUUGCCUGAAGCUAGACAGAUGCCCGGAGGGGCUUGCGCGAGUGUUUUUGUCAUGGAUGGCGGUGUUGACGCUGCUGGUCUAA